rnacentral:lncRNA from 1 species
UUUUUUUUUUGUUUGUUUGUUUGUUUGUUUUCCCCAAUCUUGAAGGCAACAGCAGAGCCAGCGUACUUGCCCCCUGUCGUCUCUGGUUCCAGAAAGACAAGCUGUGGCACUUCCUUUUUUCACAACCUUCUUCAUUACCCGAGUCUCUCUUCCUGCUGCUUAAGGGCUCUUCAAGUUUAAGAAGAAAGUUCUUCCUGCAGACCAGCUGGAUGAGGGACCUCCAAACUUGGCCUCCUGGGAUGGAGAGGGACAUUUUUGCUAGCAGGCCUAUUGGUAGGCCAGAUAUCCUGAGGUUCAUUGCGAGCCCUAGAAAUAAAUGACUGCAAGUGAAAGAUGCAGAUCUUCGUGAGGUGGCCAAGUUUAUUCGUUACUGCAUUAGCGGGCGCACGCCACCUUGUGCAUCGGGUACUGCAUAUGUUUCAAGACACCCAGUGGUUGCUUCCACCAUGGAGUGGCCUACUGUCCUCAAAAUUGCCAUGAACAACGGGUAGAAGCAAGCUCAGGCACACAUCAUCUCCUGUAGGAUCUAUUCCUGGCCCAGGCCACAGAUAUCCGCCUCAAACUCCGCCUGGCAGUCAGUCCCUUGCAGGGAGUAAGAUGUGCAGCUCCAUAGUAUUACCAAAUCUCC